GUCUAGCUCAGCUGGUUAGAGCGUGGUACUGAUAAUGCCAAGGUUGCAGGUUCGAUCCCUGACAGCUGCA